UCUGAUUAAGUAAACCAUAAUGGAGGGGUAGAAGAAAUAUGUGAUGGGUCCCACGUCGGUAGAAUGAAAGACUUAGAGCAUGUUUGGUUUGCUGUUGCAAGAUUAUGUUUAGAGGCAAAAGUAAUUUUGCCAACGGAUUAGGACCCUUGCUACUAAUCCCUUGCUUUUGCACUCAUUUUACUUUUAUCUGGUGGAUUUGCAUUGGAACGUGCACCGCAGCAUUUCCAACUACAAACAAAACAUGCACUGAAUGUGAUACUUAAGGCAUGAGUCUCUCCUCUACCUAUUGAAUCAGUCUUUUGUGUUAGGUUCUUCUCUUGUGCUUAAGUAGGUGUAAACUGAAAGUUUAUAGGUGAGUGAAGCCGUCAAAGGGAGAAGGGCUGUGAGUUAGCGUUGAUAGAGUGAAAGCCUCCUUGGACUUCUCCUCUUGAAGGAGGUGGCAAUGUUAGGAGUCUCAUCCCAUGCUAAGUAAAAUAAAAGACUUAAUGUGGUGUUUAAGGAUGAGGCUCUCCCUAAAGGACUAGUCUUUUUGGUUGGGCUCUUCUUUUGCGUUUAAGUCCUAACAAAAUAACACCUAUUGAACUUAUAUCCCUCCACCAAAUAGAAGUUGGUUUUCUGCAGCCGCCCCUAUUAUUCAAAGGCAUUUGAUCCAAAGGACCAUGCUUAUAAAUGAUAUAAACAUUGAGCUGAGAGAUGUAAAUGGUUCAGUGGGGGAUUAAUUAUUGAGCCCAGGUCCAAGUGAGAUACCCAUAUGGAAAGUAUAUUCAAGAAGGGAGGCCAGGUAGCGGGGGAAUGUUGCUGUUGCUGGGAUUUUGGUGUCAAAGUUAGUUAGAUGGUCUGCAUUUUAGGGUAGUAGGGGGGGCUAUAGUGGUGGUAUGUUGAUUAUUAUUGUCAGUAGUGACCGAGAGUGUAUUCUCAGAGGAGCAUUGGCUCGGUAGGAUAAAUCACCGUUUAUCUGGUUAUCUUUCUAAUUGAAUAAUACUAUUUCCAUCUAUUUCAUAUUGUUCUGUAUGUUAUGUUGCAUUGGUGAUUUAGUGUUCUGCCAAUGAGACCACCAUUUAUACCAAACAGCCUCUGAAUUAUAUAAUAAUAAUCAAAUUUCUAAUAUUUAAAAUAGAAAAUAUAGUCUUAUAGAAGCUUUUGGAAUGCUCCAAAUUCUACUUGAGUAUCCGUAUUUAUAGUAGCUUCCAUGUUCAUGCUUAUCCCAAUUGUCGCUUCAGUUUAUUACUUUUUUCUUUUGGUUCCUUAGCUAGUUUCCUAGGGACAUUUAUUAGCAUUCUCUUUUUGAUAAUGUAUCAUUGUUAGUUUAGCAGAUUGGUUGUUUUAUUUUACAAUUUUCCUAACAAUAUGAACUUUCUGGAUGCAGAAGCUAUGGAACUAUGGGAGUGGGAAGUGUUUAAAAAUUUAUUCUGGGCAUGUGAAUAGAGUAUACUGCAUAACUUCCACAUUUUCUGUGACUAAUGGGAAAUAUAUUGUUGGCGGUUCUGAAGAUCACUGUGUUUAUAUAUGGGAUCUUCAGCAGAAAUUGGUUCAGAAACUUGAAGGCCAUACAGACACUGUAAUAUCUGUUACUUGUCACCCAACAGAGAACAAAAUUGCUUCUGCUGGUCUCGCUGGUGAUAGAACUGUGAGGGUUUGGGUACAGGAUUCCUGAAUAAUAUCGAAACUGUAUGGGGAUGUUGUCUUUCUUCUAGAUUUCAACUACAUGCCUAUGCAUGUCUGAUUUCAAUAUUAGACACUAUUAAACAUACAAGUUGAUCUCAUGUUGGCACUAGUUCCGUUUUUGGUAUUAUUUGUAAAUAUAGUUUUUCAUCACUUAUUAUAGUCGAACUCAUCCCAUUUAUAGACAUUCUGAUUCUUACACAAAGACUAAUGUGUGAGAUGUAAAGUAUGAGUUUUGUGUUACCUAUCUAAAUUACUCCACUUAGACAUUCUUUUCUGUAUUGUUUGUGCCUAAUUAGAUGAACGAAAGUUUCUGAUAUUUUGAAGUAGAGAAAAUUGUAAUUUUCUAGCAAGUAAUGCAACUUGAACAGUUUACGACUCUUUAUUUUAUUUUUUACCUAUAGCUAGUCCUGUAAGAAUUUUAACACCAUUAACGUAAGGUAAUGUGAGAAUGUAAUGAUAUCCAACAAAUAUUUUUCUUCUGUAAUUUUCCACCAUAUAUAUUAUUUUUGGAUGAAGAAGCCCAUUAAUUUUUCAAAUAAAAAAUAUAGCAUAAUAUUGUAAAUCUUGAAACACAAUUAUUUUUCAUGUAACCGCUUCAGAACUUAUGGAAAUUCAGUAGGUUUUGAGAUGAAACAUUAUUUGUUUCCCAAAAUCAAGAAUAAUGAGAUAUCAAAUAUAUUGCCGAAAAUCAACUAUUUUCUCCACGGUGAUUGCAAAUGAGAAAGUUAUUUGGAAUCCAGGAGUAGGCUUCACCGUACGUAAAUUCAAUUAAAAUACAGUAAAAGACUACAAAAGGAAGCAAGCAAAAGAACUGUUUUAAAACUUGUCAGGCAUAUUCAGAGAUUAUUACAGAGCGUGAUGAAAGAGUUACAAAAAGUAGUGGUGGAGACAUUUUGUCGCGGGAAGAAUUAGUUAUUUGUACUAUUCCUUCAUGUAUCCUCAUAUUCAACUGCAAAAUAGAAGGAGUCGAGGCAUUCAUUCACAUUAAUGUAAAUUGGCUGGGAGAUCAUAGGAUUCAGAGACAUAUGUCUUGACAAAUCUCUCUCUCGUGUGUGUUUAAAAUUAUUUGACACGGUCUUAACCUUCUUAAGUGUUACUAUAGAUGAUUAGCAUUGAUAAUUGUUCCUUGGAUCUACGAAAAUAAAAAUAAACAAAACAUAGGUAAGAACAAAGCACUGAAAGCAGCAUAUAAUAGCUGCCAUCUAUCCAGUAGUACUUCUUUGAAUCUGUUGUAAGUUAGAUUACUCUCCAUGUUUCGUAUUAGUCCGUUGCCAAAGAGUUAAAGGGCUUAUCCCAGCAUCAAAAAAUUAAAUGCUUGAGCUCAAUUUUAAAAUCAAAACAAAAAAUAAAAAUCCAACAACAUUGCUAUGUGAUUCUCUCUCUCUUUUUUUUCCUCAUUUGGAAACAGGAUCCUUCUUGAUAUUUAUGCUACCGUUCAGAAAAUUUAUUUAGCAUAUACCUUUACAGUUUUUACUCUUCGCAGAUCAUAUGUUCAGUAACAAACUCUGCAAACAGAUUCUGGAAUAUUGAUAAAAGAUCACAAAAGUUAUAAUAAAAGCAAAUAAAGCGUGUCUGUAAGAUCAAGAUGAAAAAAUAGGGGCAAGUUUAUAGUUCCAUUGUUGAAAAAUGUGGCUGUCAAUAUAAAUGUAAUAACAUUGAGGAAUAAGACUUAACAGCUCUAUUGACUACUCAUGUUUCCAAGCAUACAAAAUGAGAGAGAACCCAAGGCCUUGCAAUUGGGAAUCCCUAAACUGCUGAGAAGAAGCCCAUGAGGGAUCAGAAACAGAUUGCCCUUCCCACAUUUUGUCAUUUGAAAUGCAUGUUUGGAACAUGAACACUGCAUUAUUGCCCAUAGCAUUCCCAAAGAGCCAACUAUGCACAUCCCAAAACACUUCAACAGGAACACCAUCCACCAAAAUGGUGUGAUUCCCUCUGAACUUCCACUUGAGACGCUUCACCUUCAUCACUGUCUUGCUAUCAAUUCGAAUCACAAGAGAAGGAUCGUUGAGUCCUAACGUGUCACACUCAAUUGUGACAUCAUGCACCUGCCCCUUGUCACAAAACUGAGCCUUUGCACCAUAAAACUUCUUCCCAAAAAUGUGCUCUCUCUUUGCAAUGAAAAUAGCACCAGAGUGAGAAAAGCAAGCACAAUCACUCUCAAUCUUCUUGCAUGCCUCUUUUUUUAGAUCCCCUAGGAGCAACACCGUCUCCUUGUUGAACACAACCGCUAAGUAGAACCCCUCCAUUGGCUCAGGCCCUGAACCAAACUUGGCACUACUCAAAUCCCAAAAGAUGUCAACUUUACCAGAUUGGACCUCCAAAUUCUUUGACCCUUUUCUCUUUGAGAAGAGCCAUGGCUUUAUCUCAACCUUGCAGAGGCAAUGCUUUCCCAAGUCAUCAAUUUCCACACUCAAGCCUUGACCAAUCAGAGUUUUUGUCCACGAGACUGUAAUCAAGCUUGAAUGGCCUCUUAAUUUGCACUGAUAGACACACGUGACCACAUUUUGUGCUGCUCUUGUGGUGCUUGAUGAGGAUGAGUCAGCAACCUGAACACCAUUUUCUCCAAAACAAGAAGGAAACUCCCUCAUGGCAACACCAACAACAAGUCAACAACAACAAAAUUGUCUCAACUCCUUAUUAGAAACAAAAAAAGAAUAAAGAAGAGAGCUUUUGCUGCUAAUAAAAGUUGAAUAAGAGGAACUUCUCCCUUGGUUGAUUAGAGGGGAAGAUGAUGAAUAAAGCUUUGGCUCCAAAAGACUAUAGCUUUGACAUGGGGGGUUCUAACUUGUAAUUGUGUUUCUUCAGAAUGAGAUAGGACAUAUGAGGGAGGGGUGUGGGGGACAGAGAAAGAGAGUUAUAUUUGGCUGAUGUUUGGAAUUGUGUGGGGAGACUAAGUGGAGUAAUAACCCAAACAAAAGGGAAGCCAUUAAAAAGAGAAAAAUGUUCCAUUAACAGCUAUAAUGUUAUAAGACAUCUAAAAAGAAAAAUAUAGGUAUUAUAGAAUCUGUGAUGUGAUAAAAAAAAAUCUUGCUGAUUAAAAAACUAAAAGGAAAAAUAAAAAAAAAUUAUGGACAGACCGUAAUUUUUUAUUUCCCAAUAAACUUCUACUUUAAGUUCUCUAGAAUACUGAUUAAUUUUCACUAUUAAAAAAUGAAAAAUAUUUGUGAGUUGUUUGAAAUAAGUGAAUGUUUGUGUAUUAUUAUUAUUUUAAAAAAAAUUAGAAGAAAACAUAAAAAGGAAGAGUAAGUGAAACUGUGAAAGGAAAGGUUGCUUUUAAGCACAUGGGGUACAAAGGAUAAAAGGCUACAAUUGCCCCCUUGCUAUUCCAAUGCAUGACUUGAGUCAAGCAAAUGGCAACUGGCAUUUGGUAUGUUUUGCUGCAAAGAUUGCCAUAUAUGUUAGGAGACGUGGCCCAGUAAGGAGAUGUAAUUAUCAAAGUAUUUAAUUGAAGAAAUGGAUUUCAAAUAUCUAUUUGGCCCUUAAUGUUUAUACGGCUGUAAAAUUAUUCUUAUGCAAACUUGAAUGACUAAAAAUGUUUGAGAUAUCAUAUACCACAAGUGCCAUGUUAUGUACAAGUUUUGUGACUUUUUGCUCCAAAAGACGUUUAAAAGUUUCUAUACGGUAAAUUUUGACUAUUUUUCUUCCUAUUCUGUGCUCUCUUCAUUUUUUUAAGCUUUUCUCUUCCUAUUCUUUUGGUUUAAGAGAAAGAAUUUAAUUUAUUAAUCUUGUAUGAUAUAAUUGGCAGGUUAUCUUACUCUUGAAUAUGUGAUCUGAGAUUCAAUAAACAAGUUUGUGUGUAUAAAAAAAAAUCCUUUAAUGAAAAGUGUUAGUAACGUAUUUUUAAAAUUAGUGAUUUAGACACAAUUAGUAAGCCACGGGAACAAUUGUGUUUUUUUAUGUGAAGUGUGAGAGCAACUGUGUUUAAGAUCCCCAAAUUUCCCCAAAUAUAACAUUAAAUAAUCUCAAGGCAUUGCUCGUUCGGCAACAUACGAAUAUUGCGUAAGUGAACAUCUGUAAUGUAAGGCUUUAAAUUCCAUAAAUAAUCAAUUAGGUGAAAUUUCCUUUGACCCAUGAAAUUAAAUAAACCAUGGUUGCUUCAGCAAGAAACCGUCCCAUUUCUAUGAUUACGCUAAUGCAUCCAUUGCAAAAAUUGAGUGAGAGAGAAGACUAUUUUUCAAAGAUCUUAGUAAGGUGUAGUGGCACAUAUAUUGCAGCCCAUUUGGCCAUCAUGUCCAAUAAUUAAUUUCAUGACAUAAUGAAACAUUUUUGUUUAACCAAACUUAGGAUUAGGUGCCCCACCAAACAACAAAUAGAUUUCAGAAGGGCCAUUGAAUUGGAAUUUUGCAUGAUGGCACUGCUUGACUGUUGAGACCUUUCUAUCCCUUCUAAGAAGAAAGUGGGGGAAUGGUUCUAAGUAUCAUGGCACAGUCAUUUUGACCAGAUCCCACAAAAUUAAUAGAUGGUUGAAUUUUUUAAACAUCUAAUCAAGAUUCAAAGCUGCUUUUUUUAACAAAGGUUUUCUCUGUCCUUUAUGUUUAAAUGAGGCUGAGUCAAAUGCUCAUUUGUUCUUUUCUUAUAGGAAAUCUCUCCAAGUUUGGGCUCACAUUCGUGAUUUGGCUCCUUUUCGCAGACAUUCACUUCUUUGUAGCGCAUUACUGACUCUUUAAUUAGGAGCAGAUCCACAUCAGGUGUUCAAGGAAAAUUUAUUGUCUGACUAGUAAUUACAUUUUACUGUAUUUGGUUAUCUAGGAACAAGCUGAUUUUUGAAGAUUAUCAAUUUUCUAUAGUAAAGGUUAUUGGCAAGAUUAAGUUUCUUUUGUAUAGACAAGCGCACUUGUUGCAUUUGUUUUAACAUCUUGAUAUAGGCCUUCUUAUAUUAUGGAAACUUUUGAUUUUUUCUAGUUGCGGAGUAUGACCCGUUUAUUGUUGUAUCAUUUUGGGUUUAAUAUAAUUUAUAAUUUUUUUCAAAAAAGAUUCGAUUUGUGAUCAUCAAAAUGAAAAAAAAAAAUUGUUGGAAAAAACAAAACUCAAUUCUUAAUCUCUAUGCUUCCAAAGAAGUUAAUUUUCAACUAUCGAUUGAAAAUAUAUUCUUGGUAAUGGCACAGUCAUUCUGCAGGUGCUCUAUCUAUUGAUUGUUUCAGAAGUACUAGUAUUUGGGAAUUGGUCCCAACUUUAAUUUUUUAAGAUGAGGAAAAGACAUUACUAUUCUGAUGCCAAACACUAAACAACUUCAAAACUAUUGUGCGGGUAGAUAUUCUGAAUGAUGUGUGUUCUCCAACUUUUUUGACUUGGUUCUCAUUGUUAUAUGAUAAAUUGAUCACCACAAAAUUGGAAUGAUUUUAAGGGAAGAAAAGUGGUAAUGGUAAUUAAAAUGGGACAUUGUGCAUGACAAGAAUUAAUGAUCAGAAGUGUGUGUCACGGGCAGUAUGAAAUUGCAUUCCAGAAAGUGCCAUCCAACAACUGCAAGAAUCUGAUUCCUAGUUCCCAGGGUGAAACACAAGUUAUAUGACAGAUUGACAGGCCUCAUGAAACAGUAUAAUCGCGAGUGACUUUUCAACAUAAGAGUAAUAGCCACAAAAAUGAAACUGGGAAAAGAACAAAGAGAAUCAUUUAAGUCUCAAGAGGAUAACACAGUCUUUUGCAACAGUAAUAACAAAUUAAAGGCUCAGGACCCCAUGGUAUAAUGAAAAUCCUAUAGUAUAUGUUCUUCAGUGAUUGGCCCGAAACUAUGUAACAUGAAAGAACAUUAAGAUUAUGACAAUAGAAAUGGAUCUCUAAAAGAUAAAUAGAAAUGCAUAAUGUCUUCAAUGUACAGAUUAUCAUUGCUGGAUAUCAAUACUUGCAUGGAAGAAAAGAAAGGGAGAUAGACAUUUAUAGAUCCACCUUAAAAUUUUAUUUCUCUAUAGUGCGAAUAAAGCCAGGGAAAAAACAACCUCAUUUCCCAAAAUACCCCAACAAGACACCUCUAGUAUGCCUUCUCCUACGUCUCUUUUUUCCUUGUGCCCCCGCCAUAAUACUUUUACCAUGAGUGAUGAUAAUAUAUUUAAACACUUUAUUAAUCAGCCUUUGAUCAGACUUGUUGAUCAUCAGUCUUUGAUCUAAACUUAUAGUAACAGUCAUUUUUUCUCACUAAAAUGAGUUUUGUGGGUAAUAUUUUCUCACUUUUAUUUUCUUUUGUUUGAUAUGAUCAAGAGUAUAUGUAACUUUUAUUUUGGCACUGAAAUAAUUUCUCUUACUAAAUCAAUUCAUUUUAGCAUUGAAAUAGUAUUUUUUAAUCGUAAUUUCAUGCUGAAGCCAAGAAUUGAAGCCAAUUCUUUAAGAGUAGAAUUUAUAGCAACAGCUUUUGAUCUAUAUAUCUAUUUCAUUUUCUUCAUUGCUUAAUGGUUUCUUUCAAUAUAAAAGUGCAUAAUUUAAAUUUAGUAUAUUCACAUUUAAUUCUUUCUUUCCACUAUUCCAAACGCAACAUCAAGCAAAAAGCAUUAUGUACUGCACGAAAUAUAUAAAGAAUUGUACUUAAAAAAAAAACGACAAAGAUAUGAGUGGAAUGAUUAAAGCAAAUGAGAAAAAAGGUCUAUGAGACUAAACAUUGCUUGGAAAUCCAGGUUAAUUUAUCUACCCUAAACCUAAAGUGUUUCUGUUACCGUAAAUGGUUUCUAGAGAAAGAAAAAAAAGGUUUAAACUCUAAAGCAUAAACAAAGGGAUUUAGAUACCAUUUAACCAAUGACUCCUAACAAGAGCAAUAAAGGAUUUGUGGGUUUUUGUUGUUGGACUUUAUGGAUGUGAAGAUUAGGAUUGACACCAAGGUCUUUGAUCAGCCUUUAUCAACAAGUCUUGCCAGCCUAGCCUACCCAUGUGCAUGAAAGUACCAAGUCAUCCAAGGUAGUUGUCAACAAUUAAGUUUCAAUUGUAUCAUCAACAUGUCAUGUGGGUUAUGGUUUUUUGCCAUCCACCACACAACACAUGAAAUAUAUAUAUAUGUUUGUUCAUCACACCUUUGGGUACCUCAAAAUUAUAAAUCCUAAUGUUGCUGAUUUUGCCUACAUCGAAUUCUUUUCUGCAUUUUGAUUUCGCGCCAAAAUCUCUGUUGUCGGAGAGACGUCCAAUUAGGGGUAUGAUUUAAAAUCUGUUGCAAAAGGGUGGGGGAAAAGCAACAUCAAUUUUUACUAUAGUGACACAGUGGACAUUUCAAAUCAAAUCAUGUUAUAAUCGCGAGCAAGCUUUAUCAAUUCUUUUUGGCUAAGUAAUCAUCAUUGGGUACCUCAUCAUGAUAUGUCCGAGGUCAAAGCUCAAUGGCCCCAAUGAGAAUUGUAACAUAAAAGGUCGUGAGAAAAAGAAAGAAAAAAAGAGGUUCACGGGAUCAAAGAACAAACCGAAUAGCUGCCUGUCUCUUUGCGGAUUGCCCGGCAUUUUUUCUUCCAACUCUCAAAUAUAUGUAUUCACAGUGUAAAAUAUUAUCAUUCAAUUAUAAAAACACUAUGUAUUAAGUUUGUUGAUUAUGAUAAUAAGAAAGAUAAUUUCUAAAUAUAUUAAAAGUCGUCCUAAUGAUAUUUUUUUGGGUUAACACUACUAAAAAUAUUUACACUAACAAAUAACAAUGCAUAAUUAUUAAAGUCUACUUCGUGAUUUUAUUGCAUUAUAAAUCAUUUUCUAUCUUAACCAAAAACAAUUUGAAAAAUGAAGACUGAUGGACGAUUCCAUAAGAAGUAAGAAGUGACAAUUAAUCAAUUUUGAAUACUUUUAUCUUUAAAUUAUGGCCAAUCUUCUUAUUUUAUCCAUGAGAACUUAGUAAGGGUUAAAUCCUUAAUUAAGAACUAGAAACCAACAAUAGAGAGAGAACGAAACACCAAUAUUGUACUUUCUCUAGACUGCACUGAGCUUUCCUCUCUCCCCCGGAUUGGAGGAGUUAUCAAAUAAUGAAGAUCACGAGCAUGAUACCAUUUCCUUGGCGAAUGUGAUAUUUUAAUUUAGUUUUUAUUUUAAAAAUGAAAAUAUUUUUUGUGGUUGUUCAUUUACUUACUAAUUUGUACUCUUAGUUUCAAUUUGAAUUAAAUUGAAACUGAUUUGACAUUUGAUCAUUGCCUAAUUAAACAUAUUCGUUGUCCUGAAACUCUUAAAAAAAAAAUAAUAAACAUAUUCGAUCAUCACAUCACAUUCAUUGAAUAUUGAAAUAUUCUCAUCAUUCCUACCCCAAUUUGAACAAAACAAACCUUUCAGAAGAAAAGACUAUGGAGAGUGGAAGAGGAAAAAACAGAAAAGUCCAUUUCAUAUAAAUUAAUUGGAAAAUAAUAGAUGGACACCUAACAUACAAAUGACAAUGAGAGAGAGAGAGAAAAAUUGUAAAUAUGAUAGAGAAUAUAAUACCAUUGAUAGAGUGUUUGAUAUAUAUAUAUAUAUAUAUAUAUAUAUAUAUAUAUAUAUGAAUACUCAUAUACUAAGGCACUCAAAUAAUUUGGACAUGCAAUGGAGGCUUGGAGUGGAAGACAUUAUCACAAGAAAGUCCUAGGCAAUUCCAAGCCCAUCCAAUACAAAACGGACCAAGCGCAAUGCUACAAUACAUUUUAGUUUGAUAUUAAUUUGGUGUUAUUAGGUCUUCCUUUUGGUUCUCUGUCCCUCCCUCAAAAUGGUAUCUUCUUUUGGUUUAAAGAUUCAGUGAGUGGAAUACAGUAUAUUGGGGUAAAAGUAUUUGCAAGCUUGAUUUCAAAUUAUUUUGAUUUUGUAAAAUAAAUUUUAAUUAAAAAUAAGUUUGGAGUGCUUUUAGCAUCUUAAUCUUUUUUAGAUAGUAUAAAUUAUAACCAUUUCUGGAAUAAUAAUUACUAAAAUGGUAUAAAUUUUAUAUUUAUCAAAAGUUGUUGGAUAUGAAAAAAAUUGAAUUCGUUAUUUUGUCUGUAUUCAAAUUCAUGUAUGCAAUUAUUUAAUAUAAAACGAUGCGACAGUUAUUAAAACUUCAGGUAACUUGAACAAACAAUGUCUAAUCUAGUCAAGGAUUUCUCCAUAGCUCUCGAAAAAAUAAUGUUUGGCUCUCAUGAUUUGUUCCAUAGAGCACCGGGGUUUUUUUAGAAAUAAAAUGAGAAUGACAAAGCAGAGUAAGUACUUCAGGGAAACCAGGUAAAUACUCUAGUUACACUCAAAUUAUACAAACGAUUGGUUGAAUGCUCAUUAGUUAUAUUUUGAGAUUGGGCUGUGGCCAUUGAUGCCUAUCAAGUGUUUCUAGGAUCUGUUUAGUAGCUGAAAUAAAACAAUAAAAUUCAAUAGUUUAAAGAAUGAUAUUGAGUAAAUUAUAAUAUCACAUCACUUUAUAAAUAAAAACCAAAAUAAAACACCAUUUUACAAGUUCUUAACAUUUAAAAUAUACAUAAAAAUCUAAUCAAAUAUAUCAUAAUACUUACUUUAAAUUUUAAUAAAAUAUGAUAAUGUCCAUUAACAAUAAUAGAUAAAUUAUAUGUUUGAUGAGAAAAAAUACAAUAAACUAAUAGAAAAGAGUAAAUUAUGUUUCAUAAGAAAAAAUUAUUAAUAAUGAAUAAAAUAAUUUAUAUUUAUUUGAAAUAUUUAUUAAAUGUGUUUUUAUUUAUCUUUAAAAUAAAUAAAAAAACAAAAGAAGUCUAAUUUUUUUAAAAAAUAACAGUUCAAACUGGUUUUGGGCACCAGUUCUUUAUUGAUUUUGCACCGGUUUAACCGAUUCUUGACCGGUUUGCAUUGGUUCUGAAAUCUUCCAAUUUUUUAGAGUAUCCAUAUCGAUCACCAAACCGAUUUCCUAUUCAACUAGUCGAACCGGCUGAUCUGAUCAGAUGAUUUACCAGAUCGGCACAACACAAAAGCAACACCAGCAGCCAAAAACUGGGAGCAAAACUUGGAAUUGUCUUAUCCCAUCUAAAAUGUCAUCUAUUGAUAUUGAUAUAAUAGACAAAUAAAUGAAGCGUUAGAUUUAAUUUGAAUAUUCUUCUCAAAAUGAAUUAAAACAUUUGCCACAAGUUAAAAUAAAGAUAUAACAGCCAUGGCUUUAUCUCAACCUUGAAAAGGUAAUGAUUUCCCAAGUCAUAUCUAUUCCCCCACUCAAGCCUUGACCCAUCAGAGUUUUGCUCCACGAGAGACCAGACUGUAAUCAAAAGCAUGAACCUUGAUAGAAACUGGUUCAGAUACAAAUGAAGGAAUGAAUUUUAUUCAGAACACUCCAGGACUUUCGAAAGGUCCAAGUCUCUCCCAAUUCCUUUACAAAUUCCCACCCAAUGAAUGACUCCUCUCACAACCCCUCUUCCUAUUCAUAUACAUCAUCAGCCACUUGACUCACUAAGUAACCCACUAUUUGACUGUCCCCUAACUAUCUAAGUCCCUCGACUAACAGAACUAUCACACGGCAACCAUAUUUGAGCUGCUCCUGUGGUGCUUGAUGAGGAUGGGUCAGCAACCUGAACCCCAUUUUCUCCAAAAACAAAAAGGAAACUCCCUCAUGGCAACACCACCAGUAAGAAAUUGUCCGAACUCCUUUCUUAUAUACAUAUGGUUUGGCUAAAAAGAAAGAAAGGAAGAGCUUUCCUGCUAAUUAAGGUUCAAUAAGACUACUACAUCAAUAAGAGGAACUCUGCCCUCCACUGAUUCGAAGUGAACAUGAUGAAUAAUGCUGAGAUUGGCUCCAAAAGAGUUGAGUUUUGGAAUGGUUUCUAGUCGUGUUUCUUCAGAAUGGGAUAAGACAUAGGAGGGGUGUAGGGGACAGAGAGAGAGAUAGAUUUGGAUGAUGUGUGAAUUGUGUGGGGAGACCAAGUAGAGUAAUAACCAAAAAGGAUGAGUGAUUAAAAAACUGCAGGGAACAUAAAAAGGAAGGGUCAGCAAAGGUAAAGGUUGCUUUAAGCACAUGGGGUACAAGUAUAAAGGGCUAGAAUUGCAUUAUGCUAUUGUUAUGCAUGACAUGAGUCAAGCAAAUGGGAACUGGCAUUCGGUAUGUUUUGUUGCAAUUUGCGAAGGCUGGCAUGUAUAUUAGGACUAGGAGACAUGGCUCCGUAAGGAGAUACAAUUAUCUAAGUAAAAAUUAAAGAAAUGGAUUCAAAUACCUAUAUUACCCCUUUGUUAAUAUUGAUACGGAUGUUAAAUAAUUGUUAUGCAAACUUGAAUAAUUAAAAAUGUAGAGAUAUCAUAUACCAAAGGUAUCAUUUACCGGUUGUGACUUUUUUACUAGAAAAGAUCUUUAACAGUUAUACAGUAAAUUUUUACUUUUUUUUAACCCUACGCUCUAUGCCUCUAUCUCUCCAAUUUCUCUCUACUUUCUCUAUACUCCAAUCCACUCUCUUUUCUCUUCUUAUUCUUUUGGUUUAAAAGAAAGAAUUUAAUUUAUUAAUAUGUUUCUAUGCAGCUAAAAUCUGCUAUCGCUAAUCUACACUAAUCCUUGUACAACUACACAACACCAAGGCUGCUGCUGAUCUAUAGCUUUAUAAUAACUUGGUAUUUUGGUUAGCUUUUAUUGAGAGUCUAAUAUGAUUCUUCACAUGGAUAUCUUACUGAGAUUACCAAACAAGGGAUUGUAAUGCUUACAUGUAGCUUUCAAUCGGAUUACCAAACAAUCUUACUGAGGAAUAGUAGGCAUCAACUAUGGCACAUUGAGAGAUCUUUUCCUUCUCUAGGAGAAGAGGAAAGACAACAUUUACUACAAUAUACAUCUGUUCAGAUGCUUGAGUUACAAGAAGUCAGAGACCUACUAAUGACAGAAAAGACACCAUUCACUACAAAUUAAUGAUUCGGUUUUUGCUGUAUGUGAUCCUCUAUGUGUCCAAUAGGCAUAUCAGAAAAAUUACAUCACCAAUCCUGGAUAUAACAUCACAACACCAGACAAAAAAACAGUGUUCAGAUCCUGAACAUAAAAGCCUAUAUAGCAUAAUUAAACCAUACAGCAGAACAUAAACUGAUAAAACAACACCGGCCGCCAAAAAGUGCAAGCAAACUUGAAAUUUUGCAAUCACACUCGAAAAGGCCUCAGCCGAUAACCAAUCAAAACAACCAGGUGCACAUUCAACUAACAAAUUGAAGAAGUUAACUUCAACAAGCAAUGCAGCUAGUCCCUCAAAAAAAUAACAAAGUGAUGAGGAGCAAUCAAAACCCAUUGGCAGCAUAGAAAUUUGUUUCUAUAAUAAAGUUCACAUGCUUUUGUAAGUUGCUGCAAAUGAUAAACCUACCAAUUGGUCAUUCCAUUCCAUAGCAUUACACAUGAAACAGAUAUUUAUUGUAUUAACCAAUCAGUUUAAGCAGUUAAAUUAGACAUUCUAUUAAACUAAUAGGCAGUUGGUUAACUUGUAAUAUAAGAUAUAAUCUGCUGCUGUUAGCUAACAGUGUAAAGCAUAUGCCACACCAACUCACCAAGUUAAAGAAAACAAAGUUCACUAAUCUCUCUAUUUUCUCAGUCUUAAUAUGCCAUCUAUAUCUAUUCUCCAAGUCUAUAAAACCCAUAGAAAAGUACAAAUGUAACCAGAAGAAGAAAAAAAGAGGCAAAGAACAAGAGCAAAACAUACAUCAACAUUAAGGAUCAUGCAUCAGCACCAUCAGAGGCUUUAGCAGCAAAAGGAUCAUGAGUUGGACCAACAUCCUGGCCAAUGUGGCGCUGCACGAGGCGCUGCAGAUCAGCCAUAACCUUGUGCUCCCUUUUAGCCUUCUCUUCAUAGUUAAACAUAGCCAAAGCACGCUUAUCCUCAGCACUAUAAACCUGGUUUUCUUUCCUAAUACGAAUGGCAUUCAUCCUCUGAUGUCUACUACCACUCAUCACAUAACCAAGGUUCUCAAACUUCUGAAUUUCCUCAGCAGAAAGACCCACUUCUCCUCUUCGCGGAAUACGCUUCCCUUGUUGAACAUACUGGGCAAUGGCAUCACCUUCACCGGGCCUAAGCUCUCCACCAUAGCUGAUAUGCCCCUCAGCUCUAGGCAACGGCAUUGGCCCAACCGCGGGUUCGUUAUCCAAAGCAGGUUUCUUCUGAGACUCAAACAAUUCCUUCAACUUUAUAGCCUCCGCGUUAAUCUCCGUCAUCUUCACCUCAUCAACCAUUGCUUUACUCUUGGCAUCACCAGAACCAUUCUCCUCCUCCUCCGAACCAGAACCCGCGCUCUCAGUUUCAGAGCUUCCCUUUGUUCUUUUGCUGCUCCUUCUGAUACGCUUCGAUCGAGACCUAGAAGAAGAGGAACGUUUCUUCUUCUUUCUUCCACUGCUUUCAGAGUCAUCGCUCUCGCUCUCUUCACUCUCAUCUGAAUCGCUAUAUCUUCUCUUCUUCCUGCUCCUGUUACUUCUUUUUCUUCUAUUCUUCCUACUCUUUCUCCGUCUACGUUCCUCUUCUUCUGACUCAGAAUCUGAUUCUGAUUCACUCUCGCUAUAUGAUUUCCUCGAAGAACCAGCAGAACCCUUCCUUCUCUUCUUCCUCGAACGCGAAUCGUCUGAUUCACUACUGGCAGAUUUCUCAGAUUCAGAAUCAGAUUCUGAUUCCGGUUUUGCUUUUGUUUUUGCUUUAACCUCCGUAUCGAUCUUCCCGGCGCCGUCGUUUCGAUCAGAAAUUUCGUCAGGUUUGCUAUAAUCUUCCAGAUCUUCAUUCUCGCGCCUCGGAGGACUAGGCGUGACGUUCCAGAUGCAGUGCUUCAGCGAUUUUCUCAUCUUCUGCCUCUUGAGCCUUCGGUAUUCCUCGAAGUUCAAACCCUUCAACUCCUCGUCGGACUCGGAAUCGGAGCGCUGCCAAUCGCCACGGUCGCGGUCCAGAUACGCGCCGUUUCGGCGGCCAAAUUUCUUUGGCAGAGCGUUGUCGUUGUGAGUUCCGUUGGUGUGCCUAGGGUUUCUGUGCUCGGGCGAUACCGAACGGCGGCGGCGGCGCUCCGGGUGGCGGUCAUAUGAGUCGUAGCUAGGGCUGCGGCGGCGGCGAUAGUCGUCGGAGACAUCGGGGUCAGGGGUGCGGCGGUCGUUAUGUCGGUAGCGUUCGUGAGGAAUUUCGAUGGUGGAGGAUGGUCUUCCCAUCGCGGAUAGAGUGAAUAGAACAAAAGGGACGUUUACUGGCUUGCCUUUAGAUAAUUUGCUGAAAUAUACAACUUUAGUCUCCUGUUUUGUCUACUAUCCAAUUUUAAUCUCUUAAUUUAAAAAAUAGAUAUAUUUAUGGUCUAUUUGUUAAAAUUAUUUUUUAUCAACAUCACAUUAGUAUAUAGUAUUUAUUAGUUUUAUUAUUGAUUAAACACCUUUGUGGGAUCCUCUCCCACAAACUCAAAACCUUAUUUAAGGGGUCUAAAUUCAAAAUCAUUUGAACUAAUAAUUUGUUAAUAUUUGUUUAAAUUGUUAAAAAUACUUUAAAAAAUAUGUAAUUUUACUUUUAUGAUGUGUUUAUUUAAAUUAUUUGUUGCAAUUAUUUUAGAAAUAUUUUUUAAACAAAUGAAUUUUUAUUCUCUCAACUUGAUUUAAAAUAAGCAAUUUUGGUAAUAAUCUUUUAUGAUGUCUAUAUUUAUUUUCUUUAUUUAAAUUAAUUGAAUAAUUUAAUUAUAAUAUGUUAAGUAAAUAUGUUAAAUCUCGAGUUUAAUUUGAUCAAAAUAAUAAAAAAACCAUACACAAAAUUAAAAUUUGGGCCAAAAUUAUUAAUUUUUAAAAAACUAGAGACUAAAUGUCUCUUUGUAAAAUUAAAAUGGGAACCAACCUUACAAAUGAAAUAUAAUACCAGGAACAAAAUUUUAUCUUAACCUAAUAAAAAUGGGGUGAAUAGUCAAGUGUAAUUUAUUAUCGUUUCUAAAAGUACUUAAAGUCCCUUUAACAUGUCAUUGAAAAAAAUCGUUAAAGUUAAUGUGUGUGCCCUACAUAGAACACUAGUUGCCUACAUCAAAAUUCACAAUGACUACGUUGUUGGAAGCAAUUGUUUUUUUUUUUUCCUUUUUUUCUCAUUCUUUGUCUGUCAUUUUCUUCCCCUUUCCACCUUCUCCACUUCACAGUUCUUCAUCCUUUCUUUUUCUGGUUUUUGAUUUUGAUUUGUGGUUGCUACAUUUGUUGGGAUUUGUUGAUCCAGUGCAAGGGGAGGUUCUAUGCAUGGUUGUGGGUCAUGAUGUUUGCACCCAUAGCCACUUUAGCGGUGCCCUUGCACUCCUACCAAUGAAAACAGUUCCCUACAACGCGAUCCACAAAGGCAUGUUCGACGUUCUUGAAGCGGUUAGAAAGAGGGUGAUGACGAUGAUUUGAAGGCUAAAUUCAUUUGGUUCCUGCUCGUAAUGAGGGAAUUAGAGGGGUUGCGUCAAUUGUCAAGCAAAGGUCACUUGUUAGGGAUAGCUGGAGAAAGAGGUGAUGGUGGUUGUUGUUGGUGUUUUCAUUGGUGUCGAUCUCGGUUGGGAAGUCUUAGUGGGGGAAGGGGAGGUGAGGUUAGUGAAAAGAUCAGCUUAUAAGAAUUAGAUUAAUCUAAGGGUAAAAGUGAUGGUCCACCACAAACCAUAUGCCAUGAUUUCCCACUUUAGAUAGUUCAUCCGUAAAAAUUUAAAACAAUAUUAGGAGAUUUAUAAUAUCCAGGUAUUAUGUUCAAUUAAGUGAGUUAAACAUUCUUAAUAUAAAUAUAUUUGUUCAUGGUGGUUGGCUCAUGUGAACUUGGAACCAUCAAAUAAAUUAUAUAUACCUAUAAUAUUAACAUGCAACUAUCUCAACCUCUUUAAAUAAAGUCACCAAAAUAAUUUAUAAGGCUCUAUUAUUCUUUUUUUUACGGACUAUUAUUCUAAACUUGUAAAUAAGAAAAUUAAAUUUCUUAUAUUUACCUAUAAUAUGUGAAUGCUUCAAUGUAAGUUUGAUCAUGAUAAGUAUAUUUUAGUCAGAGGAGGAAGUAUCUCAUUUCAAGUUAUGUUACUUGUUAUAAAUUAAUAUUUAUUGAUAAAAAAUAUUAAAAAAAAUUCAAAAUUCAAUACACGUUCAUUGAAGAGUAAGGGUUUUUCCUAAAAUAGGAGGAAAGAAUCCCAUCACUAUUUAUUUACUACAAAUUUAUGAUGGUUUACUAAAAUUCAUUAAUUCAGUACCAAAAAUAGUACUACAAUUUCGCACCACGGAAGACAAAUAUGCCAUUGUCGGGAAGAGAAGGUAGAAGGUCUAGAAGUUAUAAUUAUUAUUAAUUUUUUUAAGCAGAUAUUUAUUUAUUAGACUUCAGAUCGACAAUAAAUUAUAUUUUUUUCAGAAUUAAUUUAAUAUUAAAUUAUAAAAUAUAAAAAUCAAUUUAUCAUUAAAUUAUCUAUAAAAUUAAUCUAUUAUUAAAUUUAAACUUUCAAUCUUUAAGGAAUUAAUUUAUUAAUGUCUCGUAUAUCAUUUUUUUAAGAUAAAAGAGUUUAUCUUUUACAUGAUAAAACUUAUAUUCAGUGAGUGCUAAUUCUAUUGGUUAUUUAUCUUAAAAUUUUUAUUCAAAUAAGUCACUAAUCUUAUACAAUAUACAGUCUUUUAAUAAGGCAACUUAAUAUUUUUUAAAAAUUAAACAAGGAAUAAUGUUUAAAAAUUAAACGCCUCACUUUUUUUAUAGAUUAUUUUUAACAAAGAAAAUGCCAAAAAGAAAUUAACAAUAGCUGUUAUAAAAAUCUUAUCUUUAAAAUAUAUGAAAAUAAAAUAAAAUGAUUACUUUUUGGCGGGAUCUGAAUAUCUGAUUUACCAAUAAGUUUACCAAAAAGAAAAAAAGAAACUCAGGAAGUCCGAACACGCGCUCUCCGUAUAUAUAUAUUUUUAUAUUGUCUAUUGCGUGCGUCUUCUCUCUCACUCCCCUAAACCCCUCUCUCUCUCUUUCUCGCUCUAAAACCUUGAAUUAGGAACGCCAUUUCUACCGUUUUUCGCACAUUGGUAACCUUCCAAGCUUCAUGUUGAUCUGAUCCUUCUCUUUGAUUUCUCUUAAAGACCUGCGUUUUGUGACCAAGGCUUUGGUUUUCAGAGGCUGUUUGGGAUAAAAACCUCACAUGUGUUUUUGCUUCAUCUGCACUGUACCUGUAAUUUUUUUAUUUGGUUAGAAUGGACUUGGUGUUAUAUGCGUUUGGUUUUUUCUUUCGGUUUGCCCUAACUAUACGUUCUUUGUAGAAUUAGGAUUCCGUGAAAAAUGAGAGAGGGUGAAAGUUAAGAAGGAAUGUGAAGAAGCUGAUGAUUUUUUGGCCGAGAGUCAUGAGAAGGAAGUGGUUAAGGCGAAGAAAGAAGGGAAUGGCAGGAGGAAAAUGAAACGGAAGCGUGGGAGGCCUCCCAAGAUGGAUUUGAAAGAGGAAGAUCAAUUAGAUGAUCAGUUUCCACGUAAGCGUGGAGGAGUCAACGAGGCUCAUCGCGUGUUCCAAAUUGGCGAUGAGAAACCCCCAGAAGAGCCUGUGUUGGGUAGCUAUGGGUAUUGGGUAUUCGAGAAAUGGGUUCUCCCAUGAAGCUUUGCUUCUUUACCCUGACAUGUUGUCAUGUUUUGUGAAGCCUGGGAAUUUCACGUUUGGGUAAUGCGCUGGUUGGCAGAGCAAUCCAUGCCCAAAUUGUGAAGCAUGAUGUUGGAGAAGCUGAUCAAGUGGUGAACAACGUGUUUUUGGGGUUGUAUGUGGAAAUUGGGUGUUUCGAUGAGGUCUUAAAGGUGUUCGAGGCAAUGCCUCAACGAAAUGUUUAAAAUUAAAAAAAAAUUAAUGACGUCAAAAAUAGGGGCUUAAGUGUUUAGUGACAAGACAUUACGAAGUUAUUAAGAUAUGAUGCAACUAAAAUGAAGUUAUUAAAAUGAAACAUAAAAUUUUGUUUAAGUAUAUAAAAAAUAAAUGAAUGAUAAGUAAACAGACUAUAAUUCAGAUACGAAAAACUUAAUUAUGUAAAUUUUUUUAUCAUCUAAUUUAAAGAAAUAUACUCAUUACUCUAUUAUUAUUUGAGUUUCUUGCCAUAACUGUAGAAGCAGAGUGCGAAAUAGCCAGCAGAAUUUGUUAUAUACUACUGUAUGCCUUUUCAAAAGAAAAUAAACAAAUUGAAAAUACCCAAGGUAUACAGUAUAUAACAUAUUUUUAAGAAGAAAAUACCUUUUAAAAAGCUUGCGCAUUAUCAAUAAUUUUUUUUUGAAAGGUAUCAAUAAAUUUUUAAACAUGCAAAUAAAUACUAUCGUGUGUUUUCUAAAAUUUGGAUUGAAAUCAAAAUCAUAAAAGUCAUUGAGACAAAGUAUCACCUUUUUUUUUUAAUUACAUAGUCUGUAAAUUAAUCAGUAAGAGGUUGCUCUAAUUUAACCAAGGGAUCUGAGUUCAAUCCCAAUCAAUCAAAUGUGUACAGUAGCAUUUAAAUACGGGAAUUACAGACAAAAAAUGACCAUUUUUAAAUAUCGUUCGUCUCAGUCUCUUGGACCAAAAAAAAUAUUACUUUUAUUUCUUAUUCUCUGUCACUGGCUUCACAGGAAAUUCAGCAUCUAUAGUGUUUUUUUCGCACUCAGCUCAAUAAUUCAUGAACUAUAUCUUAAUAUAAAAAGAAAAAAACAAAACAAAAAAAUUCACUGGGUGAAUCUUCAGCGUGGCUUAUCCCAUUCUCCAGUCAUCUCAUUAUAAAAUUAAAGAAUCCAAAAUAAAAAAAGAUGAAAAGGGGCCACAAAAUUGUGAUUCCUUGAUUCUGUGUGUUUGCCAAUUCUUAUUUUAUUGAUUUGCAUUUGGCCCUUUCCGAGACACUAAUAGUCUGGAUGCAUCGAUUCUGCGCAACCAAACAAGGAUUAAGUAGCGAGUUGCAAUUGUUUAUAGAUAUGGUCCUGUCACUGCCCAACAAGUCAACAACAGCAAUUAAUGUAUAAAACUCGAUCAAUAUUAUUAUUAUUAGUUAAAUGUAACACGCGCGCCCGCACAUGGUUCAGUGAAUAACUAAUACACCAUCAUGAUUCAUGAAGCAGAGUCUCAUGCCACAGCUCAAAAACUAGUCUUGUGCUCCUCUGCAACAUGCAGGGGAGACUGGUUUUUGCUCUUUACUUUGGAUGAUUAAUUAAAAUACGAAUGCAGUAUGAAACAACCAAAACUUACUCAUUCGUACAUUAAUGUACUAUUUGCCUAGGUAGCUUGUGCAUUCCAUCUAAUUAUGCUACAUGUUCUUGACUAAUGUCCGCAGCAACUUCUUAAACCACUCAUGCAGCAUUCAAUUUAAUUUCCCAAGUACAAUAUUAAAUGAAACGCUAACAAUGCGGCAUGUUACAUGACCACAAAAAUCGAGGAAUUUCAUGUUUCUUUAAAAGUUGCUUGACACAUACUCCUAGUAUAAGUUAUGAAGACAUUAAAGACUUUCCAUAUAUCCCAAAAAAUAUUUGCAACUUUCCAAACGGAAAUGUUAAUAAGAUGGUCACAGGGUAUCGCUCAGUAAUAUACGAACUGAUGUUCCCCAUAAUUAAGGGUGACCAAGACCCAUUAAUCCUCCGUUCCUACUUAUCAAUUUUUUAAAACUAAUUCUCGUGUAGUAGUUAAUUAUAUUAAAUUUGUCAAUUAUUUGUAAUAUUAUUAUUAUUUUUAGUUUUCUAUUUACUUAAUUAUUUUUCAUUAAUGUUUGAAGAAAAAUAAAUAAUUCAUGAAUCCAGAAAUUAAAAAAAUGAUCUUAGAAAAAAAGAAAAAAUAAAUUUCUAAAAAAACUUUAUAAUUAAGGACAAAAGAAACAUAUUAGAGAUAACAGUGAAUAUAUUAACACAAUGUAAAUAAUUUUUUACGUUGUCCUUCUUAUAUAAUUGGUUAUGUAUAAUAAAUUUAUUAAUUAUUAUAAUAAAUAUUAUCAAGCGUGAUUUUUAAUUGAUGAUUGAUAGUAUAGAACAUUUAAUCAUGAUUUUUGAUUAGUUUAGAGUGUAAAAUACAAAAAUUAAGUUCAUUAUAUUAUAAAAUACAAUAAAACGAAAAAGAAAAAGAUGGUAAUUAAGUUGAUGGAUAAAGAUUAAUUAAGGAGGAUAGUGAAAGAUGGAGUAGAGGACAGCGAAUGAAUUAAUGCAUGGAGGGGACAAGUAUGAGUAUAGAGGUUCCCCACCCUCAAAGCAAAGGAACCAAAAAUGUCACUAUACGUACCACUAACUAGUAACUUAACAGUUAACACUAACCAAACGAAGGAAAAAAAAAACCAAAAACGAGUGUGAGACUAAUUAAUGAAACAAUCAGUAUCUGACAUGUUUCAUUAUUUUGAAUUUACAACCCAAAAUUGAAGAAGAUCCAACACUACUAGAAUGACAUGAGGCUAACGAGAAGAUCAGCGAAGGCUCCAAGAAUGAACUUGUGUGUGCUCUUUGGAUUCAGCGCAAGAUAGCAUAGAAGAAGCUCGUGAAGAACAUUCCAAUUGGACUUCACGUCCAUCAGCUCCGGCCGCGCCUCCACCAUCUCCUGCAUCGACCGCCGGAAAUCCACGUAAGGAUCCGGCGAGUACGUCGCCACCGCCACGCUCCCCUUGAACAACACCUUCUUCUUCUUCUCCUCCUCCUCCUCCUCCUCCUUCAUCUUCUCACCAUGUUCUCUCAACAAUGCUGGGUGUCGAGUAGUACUUUUGUUGGUGUUGUUGUAUUCAACUAGGGAAUUGGAGAGGCCCGGGGAGGAGAAGAAGAAGCGUUGGGAGGCGAAGGCGGUGGCGAAGUCAGCGGGUUCGGGCUCGAAGAAGGUAGAGCUGAAAGAGUGGUCAUGAGAGGUUAAGGUAGGGUCAUAGAUAGAGUUGAAGUUCUUUAUCAUAAUUGAAGAAGGAGAAGGACAUUGAGUAGUGUUAUUGUGAUUUGAGGAACUAGUUAUGGGGCUCAAUGGAGGAGAUUCGCAUUCAUGAGUAGCUGAAUUUGAACAACACAUGUUCAGGUUCAGGUUCAGGUUGAGGUGCUUCAGAUUUCUUGUGCUUGCCAUAUUAGGUUUGUUUUUGCAAAAUGAGAAAAAACCACAAGUGAAGGAAGGAAAAAAUAACGAAGAUGCCAAGAAGCUCUCUUGUUUUAUGAUUACAAUACAUAUAUAUUAUUAUAUAGGAUUAGUUGUGAGCUACCAAGAUCCAAGGAAAAAUAUACAUGUGUCUUCUUAGUUAGUGUCCAUAAGACAUUAAUUAAGAAACUAAAAAAAAUGAAUAUUUAGUACAGCGAAAAUCAUAAAAAAAAAGUUAUUAAUAUGUAAUUUUAUGUAUUAUAAUAUUUUUUUUAAUUUCUUAAUUAUGUCUUAAGAAUAUUAGUUAUUAUUUAUAUAUAUAUAUGUACGGUGAAACAAGAUAUUAAUACAUGAAAAAUUGUAAUGAGUUGAGAGGAGCGUGUAAAUUAAAAAGACUAGUAUAGCCAAACGCCCAAAUCAUCCGGGUUUUCAGUGAAUAGCUUAGUUUGAAAUGAAAGCAAGGUGCACAUGGGAAACGAAAAAGACUAG
rnacentral:lncRNA from 1 species